GCGCGGUAGUUCAGUUGGUUAGAACGCCGGCCUGUCACGCCGGAGGUCGAGGGUUCAAGUCCCUUCCGCG
rnacentral:tRNA from 10 species